rnacentral:rRNA from 1 species
CCUACGGGCGGCUGCAGUGGGGGAUAUUGCACAAUGGGGGAAACCCUGAUGCAGCGACGCCGCGUGGGUGAAGAAGCGCCUCGGCGCGUAAAGCCCUGUCAGCAGGGAAGAAAAUGACGGUACCUGAAGAAGAAGCCCCGGCUAACUACGUGCCAGCAGCCGCGGUAAUACGUAGGGGGCAAGCGUUAUCCGGAUUUACUGGGUGUAAAGGGGGCGCAGACGGCGAUGCAAGCCAGGAGUGAAAGCCCGGGGCCCAACCCCGGGACUGCUCUUGGAACUGCGUGGCUAGAGUGCAGGAGGGGCAGGCGGAAUUCCUGGUGUAGCGGUGAAAUGCGUAGAUAUCAGGAGGAACACCGGUGGCGAAGGCGGCCUGCUGGACUGCAACUGACGUUGAGGCCCGAAAGCGUGGGGAGCAAACAGGAUUAGAUACCCUGGUGUC